rnacentral:rRNA from 1 species
UUGGGGUUGGACUCCGCAUGGACGAAGUCUGACGGAGCAACGCCGCGUGAGUGAUGAAGGUUUUCGGAUCGUAAAGCUCUGUUGUUAGGGAAGAACAAGUGCAAGAGUAACUGCUUGCACCUUGACGGUACCUAACCAGAAAGCCACGGCUAACUACGUGCCAGCAGCCGCGGUAAUACGUAGGUGGCAAGCGUUGUCCGGAAUUAUUGGGCGUAAAGGGCUCGCAGGCGGUUUCUUAAGUCUGAUGUGAAAGCCCCCGGCUCAACCGGGGAGGGUCAUUGGAAACUGGGAAACUUGAGUGCAGAAGAGGAGAGUGGAAUUCCACGUGUAGCGGUGAAAUGCGUAGAGAUGUGGAGGAACACCAGUGGCGAAGGCGACUCUCUGGUCUGUAACUGACGCUGAGGAGCGAAAGCGUGGGGAGCGAACAGGAUUAGAUACCCUGGUAGUCCACGCCGUAAACGAUGAGUGCUAAGUGUUAGGGGGUUUCCGCCCCUUAGUGCUGCAGCUAACGCAUUAAGCACUCCGCCUGGGGAGUACGGUCGCAAGACUGAAACUCAAAGGAAUUGACGGGGGCCCGCACAAGCGGUGGAGCAUGUGGUUUAAUUCGAAGCAACGCGAAGAACCUUACCAGGUCUUGACAUCCUCUGACAACCCUAGAGAUAGGGCUUUCCCUUCGGGGACAGAGUGACAGGUGGUGCAUGGUUGUCGUCAGCUCGUGUCGUGAGAUGUUGGGUUAAGUCCCGCAACGAGCGCAACCCUUGAUCUUAGUUGCCAGCAUUCAGUUGGGCACUCUAAGGUGACUGCCGGUGACAAACCGGAGGAAGGUGGGGAUGACGUCAAAUCAUCAUGCCCCUUAUGACCUGGGCUACACACGUGCUACAAUGGACAGAACAAAGGGCUGCGAGACCGCAAGGUUUAGCCAAUCCCACAAAUCUG